rnacentral:lncRNA from 1 species
CGUCGGUGUUGACAGCUCCAGCUUCCUGUUACCGAAUGUGAAUAAAGUUAGUCCUCAUUUAAAAAAAUGACUCCCGUCACCCCAUCCGUAGUAUGUCACCACCUGUGUCCCCUUGCACCUGUUCAGUCCUGGCUUGGGGAAUGACUUUCCAGAUGGCAUAGCACUCUCUGGGUGUGUCCUGACCAAAUGUGCACCACAAUGGUUCAACAAGUAAGGGGAAUGCCGUUAAUACGAACGCCGCAGUUUGCAAUAUAUCAAAGGGGAGGUGCAGAGCAAGGCUCCUCAGUGAGGGAUGCAGAGCCGGAACCCUGGUGGGUUGUG